AGGACGAACGCUGGCGGCGUGCUUAACACAUGCAAGUCGAACGAGGCCCUUCUCUUCGGAGAAGGUGCCCUAGUGGCGAACGGGUGAGUAACACGUGGGCAACCUGCCCCUAGCACUGGGAUAACUCCGGGAAACCGGGGCUAAUACCGGAUAUGACCUCCUUAGGCAUCUUUGGAGGUGGAAAAGAUUCUGGCUAGGGAUGGGCCCGCGGCCUAUCAGCUUGUUGGUGGGGUAACGGCCCACCAAGGCUCCGACGGGUA
rnacentral:rRNA from 1 species